rnacentral:tRNA from 1 species
UCUGAAGUGUCCUACACAUUUAACUUCGAAUUAAAAAAUCUAUAUCAGCAGAG